UGGGUAUUGUUCUUGACGCUCAUCAUGAGCAGGGACAGGGGCCCGGUGCUGAACUCCUCCUCCUCCUUCUUCACCUGCCGCCGCAAACAGAACCAUGUCAGUCACUAGUUAGGCAUCCGUACACAAGAGCUAGCAGAGGCGUGAAGGCCUGCCCCCCAGAGAUAAAAGUAAGAUGAAAUUUCUGUUGCAAGAUGCUUACAUUGGCAGCUGCUUCUUCCGCCAUCGGCGCGAAUCGAAGCCGGUGACCUGCGGAAGGGAAACAAACCAAAUCAGCAGCAACCCUAACUCUCUCUUGGCGAUACCCGCACAGCAAGAGCCCGGGGUGACCGGGCGAACUGUGGCAGCCCCCUCGUCUAGAACAGGUAAACUGCCCGCGGGGGAGGGGGAGGGGGAGGAGGAACCCUAGAUUUCAGCGGCUACUCGGGGGCGGCCCGUCACA
rnacentral:lncRNA from 1 species